AAUCCUAACACUAUUUUUGGUAUCCAUUUUGGUUGCUAGCUUCCUCCCCCUACUGCCAUGGCGGCCAUGAUAAUCAAGUCAAAGCAAUGCCUACGUCUCACCUCCCACCUCAUCUCUCCUCUCUCAACACUCACCUCUCCAGCCCUACAAACUCUCGAAGAACCCGAAUUAAUCAAACCCAUCCUCCAUCUCUCCCCAUCCGAAACCCUAAUUUCAGACCAACUCCACUCCCUAAUCAAAACCCACCACCGCAACAACCCCAACCCCACCUCCAAUCUCUCUCUCCCCACUCUCUCCUUCGAUCUCUCCCAAAUCUCUCCCACCUCUCUCUCUCCCAACGUCGUUCGCCACGUCAUCCAGAAAUGCGGGUCCCCCCGCCACGGUAUCCCCUUUACCCAGACUCUCGCGUUCUUUAAUUGGGCUAAUAAGUUAGUUAAAUGUAGUGAUGCUUAUAAUGAUAUGAUUGACCUUUGUGGAAAAGUGCGCGCAUUUGAUGUGGCGUGGGGUUUGAUUGAUGAUAUGAAGGAGAAUGGAAUUGAGGUGUCGAAUUCGACGUUUUCGGUUUUGAUUAGGCGGUAUGUGAGGGCGGGCUUGGCUAGUGAGGCGAUUCUUGCGUUUAAUAGAAUGGGGGAGUAUGGGUGUGUGGCUGAUAAGAUUGCGUUUACUAAUGUUGUUUCGGUUCUUUGUAAGAAGAGGAGGGCGGUUGAGGCUCAAGAGUUUUUUGAUGGGUUGAAGGGGAAGUUUGAGGCGGAUGUUGUGGUGUAUACUAGUUUGGUUAAUGGGUGGUGCAGGGCGGGGAAUAUUUCAGAGGCGGAAAGGGUGUUUAGUGAGAUGAAGGAGGUUGGGAUUCAGCCGAAUGUUUAUACUUAUAGUAUUGUUAUUGAUGCGUUGUGUCGGUGUGGGCAGAUUACGCGAGCUCAUGAUGUGUUUGCGGAGAUGAUUGAUGCGGGAUGUCAGCCGAAUGCUAUUACAUUUAAUAAUUUGAUGCGGGUGCAUGUCAAGGCUGGACGGACAGAGAAGGUUUUGCAGGUGUAUAAUCAGAUGAGGAAGCUAUCUUGUGCUGCCGAUACUGUUACUUAUAAUUUUCUUAUAGAGAGUCAUUGUAGGGAUGAGAAUCGGGAUGAGGCUGUUAAGGUUAUCAAUACAAUGGUCAGAAAAGGGUGUGAGGCAAAUGCUUCUACAUUUAACCCGAUAUUUAGGUGUAUUUUGAAAGCAGGGGAUGUUAAUUCUGCUCACAGGUUGUUUGCGAGGAUGAAAGAGAUAAAGUGUAAGCCUAAUACAGUGACAUACAAUAUACUGAUGAGGAUGUUUGCUGAUUCUAAGUCUGCUGACAUGGUUAUCAAGCUUAAAGAAGAGAUGGACGAGGGUGAGAUUGAGCCUAAUGUGAAUACUUACAGGAUUCUGAUAUCCCUAUAUUGUGGGAUGGGACACUGGAAUAAUGCUUACAAGUUUUUCAGAGAAAUGAUGGAAGAAAAAUGCUUGAAGCCUAGUGAGGCAGUGUAUGAAAUGGUUUUGCAGCAGCUGAGAAAAGCAGGACAGAUAAAGAAACAUGAAGAAUUGGUAGAGAAAAUGGUUAUUAGAGAUAUGCAUGGGUGCCUAUUUCAAAUUUUAUCACAAAAACCGCCGGUUACCUUGUAUAUCUACACAUAAACCCCCGCCUUUCUGAUAUUGCAGGCACAGACAUUUCGUGUCACUAAUUGGUUUACUGCGCGAAGGGGAAAAUGAAAUGCUCCUGGUUUAUUUGAUCAAUACAUAUUGUGUUGGAACUGCAAGGGGGCAUUUUGUACAAAAUUUAAUAUUACUUCAUAUUUUUAUUGGUGCAGCAAGAUGGAUGCCUUAUCUGCACAUUACUAAAGCUAAUAACACUUUUUAUUUACAGGGAUGUUAAGCCUAUGUACUAAUUUGUUGGAUGAUAACUGUGCUGCCAUCACUCGGCCUUCAGGCUUAAGGUAACAGAUUUCAUAUACUAUCUAUACAUACAAUUAUUACAGUUAGCAACUGUUGUCCCAUAAGUGAGUUGUUCAGAAUUUAUUAAAAAAACUGCUAACUUGUAUACCCUGUCCUAAAUAAAGUGCAUGUUCAAGAAUCAUCAAGAACACAAGUAAUGUGUAUAGAUAAAUCCCAAAUGUGUUGUCUUUGUUCUGGAAUAAAUUAGAGUAAUUGUAUUUCAUAUACUCCUUGUCAUCAUAUUGUUGUUUAUAAAAUAUUGGCGGCCAGUAUAUGUAUCCCCCCAAAUUAGUUCAUGCUCAAACCCCAUAAAAAACUUUCUAAAGAAUUUAGUGUCUGCACAUUUGGAUCACACAAAUAUUUAUAAAAAUAAAAUUAUUUUAAUCUUCUCUUUAUAACUGAGUGGUUUAUUUGCUUUAAUAUUUGCUUUAGAACAUGUUUUAUUGUACAUCGUAGAGGGAACUAUAUUUAAUUGUAUAUUGCAACCCCCCCCCUCCCCC